AAUCCAUUCAGCAGCAACCUUCUCUUCUUGAUAUAACCACUUAGGGUGCUUUUAGAAGGAAUGGGAAACUGGCAGUGGUGAGAAUGCCUACAGGAAAAAAGUCAGUGUGGAAACACACUGGUACACAGGAGGAGUAAUAUGGAUGGCAGCAAGAUGCCCAGGAGGCCACCUGUGUGCUAAAACCUCUCCCUGGGACACCAGCAGCCUUUGGUAGAAGUAGAGAAACAAAGUGCAGAGUGAUCCUAAUCUACAACCCUUGUGGAAGCAGCAGAAAGAGAACUUGUCCAUCAUCAAGCUAUUUUCAAACAGCACAGCUCUUAGGCCCGGGGAAAAACUCACUGCACAAGGAGCAAGCCCACCUCUUCAUCCUUCUCCUGCAUCACUGGACUGCAAACAAAAUAAGGGGUCUUGCAAGGCAGUGCUGGAGUCCCUCCAAUGUGCUGGGAAGUGCCUUAUAGAAAGGAAUGACUGGGAACCUCUUGGAAGGAGAGAGGGAUCGAUGAGCACUGAGAGGGAACAUGACCUGCCUGAAAUGUCAUGUCUGGUGAUCAUGAAGGUUUCAAAGCUAUUGGAAAUCCUGGCCCAGCCACAACUUCUUUUUGGUUUUGUUUGAAGAUCCCCUGCAUCUGUGAGGAGCAGUUCUGCUGCCAACUUCACGAUACCACCUCUUCCUCCAUAGUGGAAAGACUUCUGGGCCUGCUGAGAGCUGCCUGGUCGUGUGGGAUGGUGGCAGGGAUGUGACUACAGAGGAAUGCAUAUGCUUGUCUCCUGGGAGCCCCCACAGCCCUGCAGAAGUGCUCUCAAUAGCUACCAGUGAGGAACGUGACUUGCACAGAUCCUGUUGCUUAUCUCCUGUGUGAGGAAGAAAAUGUCCCCUUCCAGCAGUGAGUUUGGUCCCAGCUGGCUCUGUUGGGCCCUGCAUCAGCCUCCAGAAAGCCUGUGUCAUGGGACAAGAGACCUUUCAGCUGGAGAAGCCAGCCUCAAGCUUGGCCCAGAUUCUUAGGAACACUGAUUGUGUGGCUGGUGGAGAGCACGCAAUGGGAAUAUCAGCAUGAGAAGUGGAAGAGCAACCUGGGUCUCCCAAGUACCAGACUGGCAGCUCCUCCAGGGAUUGCUGAUUUUCCUCUGGUUGCUGUGUGAUGCUCAACUCUUCUGUUUGUGAAGUGGAGACUGUGCUGGGGCUCAGCUGAUGAAGAAAAUCCCCAUGUUUUGGAGGCACUUACUGCAAGCAAUUGAUGAAAAUGAAAUAUUUAAUGGGGGUUUAUACCUGUGGACUUGGUGACACUGCUGCAUCUCAAGAGCAAAACUGUGAUGACAUCAGGAUGGAUGGUCAUGAGGCCAAUCACCUCCCCAGCUUCAAUGGUGCUUCUCUUUUGGGGUCUUUCCUCGCUUGGCUUGGCUACAGCAUCCCUACAAGUAGCAGGACCUCCUUGCCUGUUGGAAGCAGGCAGGAGUGUUGUCCCACAGGUGUUGUCACAUCUCAGAGGAAUUUCCCACCGGGAUUUCUGCGGCACUUUCAAUGGCAAGGGAAGGAACUGAGUCUGAACUUUGCAUGACGUUGUUGCAAGGUAUCCACAGAUGCCCAGAAGCCAACACGGCCUCCAAAGGAAGCCGGGAACGUUCUGCCAUCCCGGAGAAGACAUGUCUAGGGCUGACCCAGGACUGUAAUCCAGCCCUGCAGUUUAUGUGCAGCCCCAGUGAAACACUUUUGCCCUAUGAAGAGCAACCUCUGCCAAGAAUAAUGAAGAUAAUGAAGAUGCCACUUGCCUGGCUGUGACAAUCCCUUCCUGCUGCCACCCCAGCACCACAAGCAGCUGAGGUGAGUGCCACCAGCACAACGUUCUCAACAACCUCUUGGUCUAAGCUUAGCUUAACCAGUACAGAUAAAUCUGCUGUGUGAACAAAACUGCGUUUAACUGCUGAGAUAAAUUCACAACAAUUGCCCAGAUGAUGUUCACCCUUCCAGGGGUUUUUGUGACCGAGCAGGGGUUUUCUGGGUAAACCCACGCUCUGCCCAUGCUCUGGCAGCAGCUUUCCCAGGCAGCCAAAGCACAGCUCCUGCUCUCGAACGCCUUCCCUGUGGCCCUUGGAGUGGUUUCAAGAGAAAAGCGAAACGGCGACAUUUUAAACGUCUCCUCCCACGCAGUGUCUCUCUUCAGCCUCCGUUCCCACUUGCCGUGAGUUCAGAAGUCUCUGGUGGAUCAGUCUACCCCCGGAAAACUGUGGGCUUGCCAAAAUAGAAGCAUUUUUGCAGAAGGCAGUGAUUUGGCUGAAUGUUUUGCCAGCACAUGUCUCUGGGGUUUGCAAUUUGUUUCAGCAUUUUGUGUUUUUAUUUUAUUUUGGAUUUCGUUUUCUUGUACACAAUGCUACCAAAACAAAAUAUUUUAAUGUUUGCAAAUAAUUUUUUUUUUUUUUUUGGUGGGGGGAGGAAACCAAGAUUUACAAAUACAUUUUGCAAUGCCAGGAUUCCCUACCCAGCACUAGUCUCAUUUUGCUGUCAGCUCACAGUAUCAGCUCUGGUUACGUAGAAGUCACUGUGAAAGGACCCGAAUGUCUUUCCCACUAAUAUGCUUUACUUUCAGGAUGGUGAAUUAUUUAAAAUGCUUUCUAUGGCCUUAGUCUUUCCCAGGUCCCAGUCUCAUAUUUCGUUAAUGUCAGUCUCAUAAUCGAUUAUUUCUUUUCUGGUGGCAUCUCCUGUCAAGGACCAAGGUGCAGUUGAUACCCUCCUGGUUGGUGAUGGAGAGCAGAGCUGGGGUGAUGCCCUAAUUCAACCAAAGCUGGGAACGUCUGUGACCUUCACAGCUGAGAGUGAGUUGGAGGAGAGCAAAGCCAAGAGCUGAGUAGAGAAAUUAAACAAGCCAGGUGAAGCAGACACUGGGAUUGGGAUAGACCCUAAGCAGAGAGUGUGAGGCAAAACAAGAAAAGCUCUUUCAAGACAAUGGGAAGCAUUUUAAUUUGAAAUGCCUCUGUAAGUGCUGUUUUCUGGCACCUGGGAAAACUACUCAGUAGUUUUACUCAGUCAUAGCAGGAAAAGAGAGGGAAGAGUAAUGCAUCCAGCGGAAAUUCCUGCAGGUCUUGGCUCAGCAGACCAUAAUUGGAGACUGGAGCCUGCUCAGGACACUGGAGCUAACACCUCCACCCUUACAAGAGGUGGAAUCUUGGGUGACCACAAGUGGUAAGCUUGGGAUGUCAUUAAAAUAGCAGCACCUGCAGCAGCACAGAGCCCUGAACUCCCAGCCAAGGAGUUUCAUCGUGCUCCUGACUUAGAGGGAAGAUGCCACCUACUAAAUCACCCAAACUACUUCCUGCAGCACCUGUUUUUUCCUCGCAUCUCCUAUCCAAAUGGUGACUAGACCCAUGUGAAAAAUGCUGGAUCUGCUGGGCUGGGCAUUGCUGGAUCUGCACCACACAUUGCCAUCAGGUCGGAUGCAGGAGGACUAACACACAGAAGGAUUUAUACCUGUGCCCACACCAUGGGCAGAACAGGAGCAUGUUCCAUCCUGGAAUGCACCUCUCCAGCACUUGGCCUACCCUAAUCGAUGGCCGUUGUUCCUGGAUGUGGACUGGAAGACAGGCAGAGACAUCUCUUGUGCUGGCUGAAGCCUUCAGCAGGGAGGAGGACUGUGGCCCUCUCACCUGCCUGCUUGCUCCUCAGCUUUCUCUUUCUCAAAGGCUUAAAGAAACUGCAGAGAUUCUGAGAUUUUUCUUUUUUCCUUUCUUGAAAGCGUGGCUAAAAAUAGAGUAUUGAAACCAAGCCCAGCCCAGAAAGCAGAGUGUGUAGGUGUGAUGCAAACCAACACCUGGGGCUGUGAAGCAUCCUGGGGGAGCUGGCACCCAUCUGGCAGACGUGUUCUCUCUUUCCCCUCAUUCUUCCUUUGGCACCUUGUCAGAGAGCACAGGAGAUGCUGAACCUAAAGUAAUCUUGUGUGAAAAUAACCUACACACGUUGUUCUGGUUAUGAGGAGAGGAGAACAAGGAGGAGGACAACAGUUUUCAUUUGCAAAACUGUCUGAGACCCCUGAGCUGCUGCUGUGCUCUCUGAUUUUAUUUCCUGGCUGAAGGUUUCUAGAGGUGGCUGGUAGAAAACAGUGAUGACAGGUGCUGCUUUGUGGUGGUGGGCCAGGAUAUCUCUGAGGUGUAAAUAGGCCAGCAGAUGACAUGCAGUGCACAGGGGUGAUUUCUUGGACAGCACUGGGUGCCAAAGGGGGAAGGUUCAACAGAAAGGAGCUCCUCCAAGUGUCAUGAAACCAUGGAACCUGUAAGGAAGGCUGCUGUGGCAGUUGUCUCCUCAGUUAUAGGUUUUCCAUGGCUGCACAAUGUGGACAUGCCAGUCCCACAGUGCACCCCUCUCUCACACACUCCCAGCAAGAAUGUGGGCAGGUCUUGUGGGUGUGAUGGGGAGACACAGGUCUCCCUUGAAGAAAGGGGAUUUGUGGGGCCUUUGUAUAGAGAGAGAAAUCAUAAACCAUGUGUGUGACACUACCAUAGUCCCCCCAGAAGACCUGUGCCUCCACCCUGCCAUAGCAGAGGGGAUUGGGGCAGGAUGGGCGUUAACAUGUAAAUCCUUACACAGCCUGAGGACUACAGUUACCAUGGAUGAAGGGCUGUGGUGGACAGACAUGGGCUUAGUGUCUGUCAUCUGUAAUGCAGUGGAGACUGGUGUUUGGUACAAGGAGAAUUUGCCCCUCUUGGGUGCAGUUAAUUGCUUGACAAUGCCGUGACCUUGUGGCAACUCAGAUGCUCCCUCUGCGUGCCCAGAAGGGGCUGUGUGCAGCCUUAGGGAUGGGAGGAUUACCCUGGGGUUUGAUGAAGAAGGUGGCACAGGCAGGAGAGUGCAUGUACAGGGUGAGUUUUAUGAGCUGCAUUGGUCUGGCCAUGCCCUACACAGGGGCACCUCUCGAGCACAGCACCCCAGAUACUCCAGCAACCUGAGAGGCAGUAAUUCCCUUUCCUCCCUGCCAUCCCCAACACCUCUGGUAGUGCUGGAAAAUGGUAGGAAAGCAAGUAUCCUCAGAGCAAGCCAAGUCAGAGAGCUAUGAAGUUGGAAAGAGGGCUUUGAAAAUCCAGGUGGGAACCAAACAGGCUGUGCUUCGAGUGGCAACUUCCCAGAGAUGGGCUUCCAGGGACAGUCCAUCUGGUGAUGCCUGUGGAUACCAGCCAAAAAAAAAAAAGGCAUGAACAUUGCCAAGACCCCUCAUUAAACUCUCCUCCCCUCAUCCACCACCCUUGCUGAUGUAAGUGCAUGGCUGGAAGCAGUUCAUUCCCUAUCAGCCCUUUCCUGCUUAUCUGGAGCCAGCGGCGAGAGCAGGAGCUGCUCUCACAGAGGGACCCUGUAAAUCCUGGGAUGAACGCCCGGACCAAGAGCUAUUUCCCAGGGGGAUCGGGGUGGAUUGGGUAAUUAAUCACAGCUUGUCUGGGGGAGGAUGAGGAAGUCUGAAUAAAGGUGUUAACGGCUCUUAAAGGCUUUCCUGGUUCACAGAGGGUGCUGCCUCAAACAGAUUAUCUGGAAAUAUUAUUAGCUGGAGUGGGAAAGGGGUUUUUUUCUCCUCUAGGUUCUUUGCAGCCACCCUAAAUCUGCUUGAGCUGUUGAGACAGGUUUUAUUGUGCAGGAGGUGGUGGGGGAGAGGUGUUGGCUGUCAGUGGGUCAGCAAUUAAUUGGUUUAUUCCUUUCUCACGGUUAUUUUCUGACCAACAUCUGCUAAAGCCCCGGUGCCCGCUUUGUCCCAGCUCAGCAAACAAGAACCACAGGGAUUUGCAUGAGGGGACCCCAGGCCACGAGGGUGGCUUUGCAGGGGCUGCUGGGAGGUCCCUUGUCCUGCCAAGCCUCUUUCCCUGUUAUCUCGUCUUAGGAGGAGGAUGUGAUUAGUGUUUUGUGCCAUGGGAUGUCAGCUGAGGGAUGAGAACUGGGUGCCAAGAGGAGGAAAGAGCUGCCACAGAUAGGUGAGGGCCAUGCCUUUCACACAUGAAGCAUAGCGAGCCCAAACCGGAUCCCCAUUCUCCAUGGAGAUCAGCCUGCAGGGAUGACGAGAGAAGCAGAGUGAGUCCCCAGCCCUCUCCAGAGCAGAACUGCAAAACCACAGGCUUCAGCAAAGCCCUUUGAGCCAGCCCACUUCCCAGCAGAGUGACUGUCCCUUUCUCUACACUCAGGCCUGGAAAUAAUGACAGGAUAUUCUUCUCUGCAGACCUGCCUGACAGAGAGUGAGGAGGGAUCCAGAGUGAAGCCACAAAACUGAUCCUGAGGAAGAAACACAGCUUGCCUCCCGUCCUCCACCCCUGCAGACCCAAGGGGAGGGACUGUCCAUGGAUGUCCCUUUGGGUCAGAAUCCUGGGCAAGGCAGCAUCCCUGGGUGCUCAGCAGUCUCUUUGAGAGAGUUUUUGUUUAGGUUGGCCGCUGCUGAUCCCAGCCUGUCUUCAGCACACAGAUGCUUUUAACCUCCUGAGGAGGGGUCUGAGUGGCCAGCAGCUGCUGAGGACACUGCCACAAUUCAGCCAUGUCCCUGCUCAGGGCACAGACUGUAAACACAGUAGGGAAUCCAGGCCAUAUCCCAGCCCAGCUUGGCUGCCUGGCUUGAGGUCCUCAUCACCCAGAAUUUGGAGCUUGCCUCUUUUUCCAUUACCUCUAAGCAGAAAUGGUGAAUGUUUCGGUAAUGUUUCCUAAAAAUAAAAAUGUCAACAGAAAGAGCCAUUUAA